AGUGAACGCUGGCGGUAGGCCUAACACAUGCAAGUCGAACGGCAGCACAGUAAGAGCUUGCUCUUACGGGUGGCGAGUGGCGGACGGGUGAGGAAUACAUCGGAAUCUACUUUUUCGUGGGGGAUAACGUAGGGAAACUUACGCUAAUACCGCAUACGACCUACGGGUGAAAGCAGGGGAUCUUCGGACCUUGCGCGAUUGAAUGAGCCGAUGUCGGAUUAGCUAGUUGGCGGGGUAAAGGCCCACCAAGGCGACGAUCCGUAGCUGGUCUGAGAGGAUGAGCAGCCACCCUGGAACUGAGAAACGGUCCAGACUCCUACGGGAGGCAGCAGUGGGGAAUAUUGGACAAUGGGCGCAAGCCUGAUCCAGCAAUACCGCGUGGGUGAAGAAGGCCUUCGGGUUGUAAAGCCCUUUUGUUGGGAAAGAAAAGCAGCAGGUUAAUACCCCGCUGUUCUGACGGUACCCAAAGAAUAAGCACCGGCUAACUUCGUG
rnacentral:rRNA from 1 species